AUGAACGCUGGCGGCGUGGAUAAGGCAUGCAAGUCGAACGGACACUUUUAUGAUUGAGAUGCGAUUAUAUCAAGUCAAUUUUAUUUUUGUGUUAGUGGCAGACGGGGUAGUAACACGUAGGAACGUACCCUUAAGACGAGAACAACUCCGCGAAAGCGGAGCUAAUACUCGAUAUGUGGCAACAUGAAAGUCGCAAGACACUUAAGGAACGGCCUGCGGGCUAUCAGCUAGUUGGUAGGGUAAUGGCCUACCAAGGCGAUGACGGCUAGGGGGAGUGAGAGCUUGGCCCCCACCAAUGGAACUGAGACACGGUCCAUACACCUACGGGUGGCAGCAGCCGAGAAUAUUCGACAAUGGGCGAAAGCCUGAUCGAGCGACGCCGCGUGCAGGAGGAAGUCCUUCGGGACGUAAACUGCUUUUUUAGGGGAGGAACGUAAGUGACUGUACCCUAAGAAUAAGGGCUUGCUAACCUCGU
rnacentral:rRNA from 1 species